rnacentral:misc_RNA from 1 species
UGCGGCAUGAAGCACUUGCACAGCAAUCAGCACAGCACCGGGGAUGAGCCUGUGGAUGUGUCAUUGUGAGCAACUUGUUUCUGUUCUGCGUGUUCUCUUCGGCUGCACCUGCUCAAGCGACAGGGGGGGGCGAAGAGGCGCACAUACGUGGGCGAGAGACUGACGACCACAAGUGCACUCCGCACACGAAAGUUACAGUGCGGCAGAAAGAGUGGGGGAUUGGGAUGAGGUGGGCGGGUCAGGCAGCGUGGGACUCACCACACGUUCCUGCUGGAGAGCGGCGUGACGCUGCAACGGCAAGUACAAGCGACAGUAGCGGUAAUAGCCGGCGCCACGCGCCUUUUCCGCAUCAACGCGACCACCAAAAAUGAGAACGAAAUGCCUCGGCAUAUUCGCCCAGCGAAGAGUAAGAGAGAUGUGCUGUCGAUGAAGAGAAGAAAAAAGGGACGCCGCAGCCAAACUCCAGCCGCCACGAGUGACGACGAAGAAAAGUGUGUGUGUGUGUUUGGGGUGGGGGAAGAGGCAGCAUGCUUUCUGCUUGCUUGAGCUCACGUGCAAAACAGAGAGGCAUGGAGUACAGCGGGUGCGAGCAAAGCCACCGGACCGGCACACUACACUCACAUGCGCGGUCACACAGCUACAUCGCCUCCUCCCCUCUGCACCGACUCAUCCUCCCUUCGUUCUCAUGGGGUGAUGUGGUGAAAGGUGUGGGCAGGGGAGUGUGAGGGGGGAGGGGGCGAUGUGGAGGGCGAAGACGGAAGGAUGGAGGAGAGAGCCGGAGAGGCACACGUGAGCAUACUCUACAUGUGCGAACGGGCCAAGGUGUGAGGGAUAGGGUGGAGGUGGAUAUGUGUCUCCCCCCCCUGCGAUUGCUCUUUCUCUCUUACGCUGCCUCUCGCCUUGUGUGGCGUUUCCGUGUUUGGGUGUGCCUGCCCGUCCAUCCGUCGGAGUGGCGAGUGCGCUCCGCUCCUGCGUUGCCCCACUUCUUUUCGUCGGUCCCUUCCUUUCUCUCUCUCUCGCACACGCGCACACGCCUCUUCUAUUUCCUUUUUUUUUCUAACAUUUUCGGGAUCGCUCGACUUUUUGGCCUGCGUCUGUGUAG